CCCUUAGAUGUCCUGGGCCGCACGCGCGCUACACUGACAUGUUCAACAAGCCUCCUAGUUCGACGGGAUUUGGGAAAUCUUUGAACGCAUGUCGUGAUAGGGAUAGAUCAUUGCAAUUAUUGAUCUUGGACGAGGAAUUCCUAGUAAACGCGAGUCAUCAGCUCGCAUUGAUUACGUCCCUGCCCUUUGUACACACCGUCCGUCGCACCUACCGAUUGAAUGUUUCGGUGAAGAUUCCGGAUAGGACUUUUUUGAUUUAUUUCAAUUCUGUCUUAAAAGCUAUCUAAACCUCAACAUUUAGAGGAAGGUGAAGUCGUAACA
rnacentral:rRNA from 1 species